rnacentral:tmRNA from 1 species
GGGGAUGUACCGGUUUCGACAUUGUGAUUGGUAGAUUCGGGUUGCGAGUGCGGGAGCUGUGCCCGCUUAUCAACGAGCAAAUUAAAAUAAACGCUAAUAACGUUGUAUCUAUGGCUGAUUACAGAGCACAAAGACUCGCUGCUUAAUUAUAGCAGUUACAGCCCAUUCUUCCCGACCAGCUUGCCGUUGGGAUAAGAAUGAACGUAUGCAAGAUGCAGUACGCAAAUGAUGGUAUGCGUAUCAAGUUUACCAUUGGAGGUUAGACUUCCGUUAAAAAGUCUUUGGAUUUACUUAGGUUAUGUAACUUUCCUUGUGAAUUCGAGAUAAUAAGUUACUACACUCGUAGAUAUCAGCUUUUAUCCGCUAUGGACAGGGGUUCAACUCCCCUCAUCUCCA